rnacentral:rRNA from 1 species
GAGAGUUAAACAGUACGUGAAAUUGUUGAAAGGGAAACGAUUGAAGUCAGUCAUACCAACGGGAAAUCAACCUUUUGAGUCUGUCCUCGUGGGUUUCGAGGAGUUUAAAAGCCUUCGGAUUUUCUAGGAUUUGGGCUCUUUUGGUGUACUUUCUCGUACGGUUAGUCAACAUCGGUUUUGAAUGUCAUAAAAUGACCGGAGGAAUGUGGCUUCGAUCUCGCAUCGAAGUGUUAUAACCUUUGGUAGAUGUGAUGUUCGAGACCGAGGAUUGCAACGGAUACCCUUCUGGGCUAUUCGUCUGAUCUCUGAUACGUUGCCUUGAUGUCGAAAGCGUGCUUAUGAUGUUAGGGUAUUACGGUCAAAAGGUUAGAACGGAUUAAAUUCGUUAAGGAUGUUGACGUAAUGACUUUAAACGA